GAAAAGAACUUUGAAGAGAGAGUUCAAGAGUACGUGAAACCGUUCAGGGGUAAACCUGAGAAACCCAAAAGAUCGAAUGGGGAGAUUCAUCGACGACGAAGCUGGCUCCCGUUUGCGUGUGAUUUCCACGGUGGGACCACGGUACCCAGAACGUGGGUAACACCCCUUCGGCGAAUAACCGGCGACGUAGUCGUGCACUUCUCCCUUAGUAGAACGUCGCGACCCGUUGUGUGUCGGUCUACGGCCUGGGCUAUUUGCCUGUCGCGGUGGCAUUACGUCGCUCGCGGCAGAGGCUCGGUCGCCCGGCCGGCUGCACGACGGUACUCCGACGGUAUCGGGCCGCAACCAAUCCAUUCUCGAAUGGUAUAUGCGUCCAGGCCCGUCGCAAGCUCGGACAGCACCCGGAGCGUGUGGACGCAGCGCCCUCCCCGGGUCUGGCCAGCUGUUAGCAGACGGUGUCCUCGGACCGGCCAAGCUUCGAAUUACCGGUCAGCGACGCUAUUGCUUUGGGUACUCUCAGGACCCGUCUUGAAACACGGACCAAGGAGUCUAACAUGUGCGCGAGUCAUUGGGACAUUGAAACCUAAAGGCGAAAUGAAAGUGAAAGUCGUCGUAAGCGUCGACCAAGGGAGGAUGGGC
rnacentral:rRNA from 1 species